AAAUUCUCGUUAUGAAUAGUUUCUUCUAAAAGAUCGGUUUUUUUAUGUAAUAAAAUUGAGUGUGUGAUUUUCAGAAAAGUAGGGUAAUUAUAGUUUGACUUUGACAGUUCGACGAGGAAAAUUAUUUAGUUUUUGUGACACUUUUGUUGGGUGGACUCAAAUAAACAAAAUUUGAACUGAGUGAAUUCUUCUGUGAAAAUGUAUAUUAAAAUGAAAGGCUAAGUCAUUUCCUUCGAUUAAUAAUAAAUAUGUGUCGAGACAUAGGAAGCUAAAAAGAAAAUGUGAUAUUAUAAAAUAGUUAGAUAUAAUGUUUAAUUAAACUUAGAAUGUAGUUAGAUAGAUAGUGUUUGUUAUAAGGCCAGUAUUAGCAAUAGGAACAUCGAGUAAAUAGUAUUAUUAUAUUGAAUCUGAAUCUCAUACACUCAUCGACUUAAUCUGCAGUUUACUCUGAUUAACACGAGCAAAACUGGUGCUGGGGAUAGCGACCCUUGAUGGUUCAC